AUUGAACGCUGGCGGCAGGCCUAACACAUGCAAGUCGAGCGGAUGAAGGGAGCUUGCUCCUGGAUUCAGCGGCGGACGGGUGAGUAAUGCCUAGGAAUCUGCCUGGUAGUGGGGGAUAACGUCCGGAAACGGGCGCUAAUACCGCAUACGUCCUGUGGGAGAAAGUGGGGGAUCUUCGGACCUCACGCUAUCAGAUGAGCCUAGGUCGGAUUAGCUAGUUGGUGGGGUAAAGGCUUACCAAGGCGACGAUCCGGAACUGGUCUGAGAGGAUGAUUAGUGACACUGGAACGUAGACACGGUCCAGACUCCUACGAGAGGCAGCAGUGGGGAAUAUUGGACAAUGGGCGAAAGCCUGAUCCAGCCGUGCCGCGUGUGUGAAAAAGGUCUUCGGAUUGUAAAGCACUUUAAGUUGGGAGGAAGGGCAGUAAGUUAAUACCUUGCUGUUUUGACGUUACCAACAGAAUAAGCACCGGCUAACUUCGUG
rnacentral:rRNA from 1 species